CCUACGGGUGGCAGCAGUGAGGAAUAUUGGUCAAUGGGCGCGAGCCUGAACCAGCCAAGUCGCGUGAGGGAAGACGGUCCUAUGGAUUGUAAACCUCUUUUGUCGGGGAGCAAAAGACGCCACGCGUGGCGUUCCGAGAGUACCCGAAGAAAAAGCAUCGGCUAACUCCGUGCCAGCAGCCGCGGUAAUACGGAGGGUGCGAGCUUUAUCCGGAUUUUUUGGGGUUAAAGGGUGCGUAGGGGGGCUGUUAAGUCAGCGGGAAAAGCCCGGGGCUCAACCCCGGCGAGCGGUUGAAACGGGCUGUCUGGAGAGGGCGAGAGGAAGGCGGAAGGAGCGGGGGAGCGGUGAAAUGCUUAGAUAGGGCGCAGAACCCCGAUUGCGAAGGCAGCAGUCCGGCGGCGUUCGGACGCGGAGGCACGAAAGCGCGGGGAUCGAACAGGAUUAGAUACCCUAGUAGUC
rnacentral:rRNA from 1 species